rnacentral:lncRNA from 1 species
UUGGGGACGCGAGAGCAGAGGGAGUUUUUUCUUUGAGUUCGAGUGAGAGAGGGUCCGCUGGUGAGCAAUAUUGAGAGAGAACUUUGGAUUGAGAUGGAGAGAACUCAGAGGCAACGAAUGGUUACUGUUCCCGUUUUUCUUUUUUUGUUGUUGAACUUUUUUACUUGUUUCUUUAUAUUUUGCUAGCAUAAUAGACUUUGGGAA